GACGAACGCUGGCGGCGUGCCUAACACAUGCAAGUCGAGCGGAGUUGACAAGAGGAAGUUUUCGGAUGGAAUCUUGCCAGCUUAGCGGCGGACGGGUGAGUAACGCGUGAGCGACCAACCUUGCACAGGGGGAUAACGGACCGAAAGGUUCACUAAUACCGCAUGAGACCACGGUGUUGCAUGACACAGAGGUCAAAGGAGCAAUCCGGUGCAAGACGGGCUCGCGUCCGAUUAGGUAGUUGGUGGGGUAAUGGCCCACCAAGCCUAUGAUCGGUAGCCGACCUGAGAGGGUGAUCGGCCACAUUGGAACUGAGAUACGGUCCAAACUCCUACGGGAGGCAGCAGUGGGGAAUAUUGGGCAAUGGGGGAAACCCUGACCCAGCAACGCCGCGUGAAGGAAGAAGGUUUUCGGAUUGUAAACUUCUGUCCUUGGUGAAGAGAAGAAGACGGUAGCCAAGGAGGAAGCCCCGGCUAACUACGUGCCAGCAGCCGCCGUAA
rnacentral:rRNA from 1 species